UGCUCACAAUGAUAUCAUAACGUUGGGACAGUUUGUUUUAGACGGGACACUAAUGGAAAAUCUUAAACGCAACGGUUUAUUUUCAAAACAAGAUUUAGAAAGAUGGAUAAAAGAUACAUUCAUAAACAUAGCCAUACUAUUUAAAGACAAGAACGCAAAAAAAUCAGAAGUACAAGCAGCUUCAAACAUAUCAGAACAGGUAGAUAUGGCAGUGCGUACUUUGGAAGCAAAGAAGAUGGAAAAUUGCAGAGAUUGCAAAUUUCCACUUGGGAAAUGCAUAAUUGAGGCCACGAAGAUGGAUUCGUCGCUGAAAACCUUCAGAGACACUGCAAUUGAUACACUUAUAAAUAUUGUACGGAGCAAAAAUUUCAAGAUGCCUGAC